rnacentral:lncRNA from 1 species
AAAUCCUGAAUCUUCCGACGGUCAAAUCACUACAUACACACUUUAACCAAUGGGUCACCAAACGAAAGAAAAAUUGAAAUCCAAAUAAAAAGUUGUCAUUAACGUGAUAAAAACGAGUACAAUACAAAGUACAACCAUGCAGCGAAAUAAAACCAAAUACACACAGAAGAAUAACAAACACUACCGAGAGAGGAUAUCCUUUUGCUGAUGUUUGUUUCCCGGGAUUCUUUUAUUUUCCUUUUGGAGUAAUUGGAAUUCUUAUAUUCCCAGAACCAGAAUUUCCACCUCAUAUCUGAUUGAUUGAUUGAUUCCUUAGCUAGCUAGACGAGGGAAUCAAUUUCUAUUUUUGAAUAGAGAAUCCAAUCCAGAAAUUGGUUUCAAUGAAUUUAGGUACCAGAUUCCAUUUCUAGUCAUCAGAUAGAUUGCAGAUUCUUCUUUUUAUGAAGCAAUGACGACAGUCACAGUAGGUGUUUUUUUCUAUCCCCACUUGGAAGCUGUUAUCCAAAAAUACUUUCCUGCCUAUUCCUUCCCAGUGAAAGCAACAAGUAACUUAAGCUUUACUUUUGACUACAUGAUCAAGAAAAUGACACAUAUAAUUGGAAUAGAAUUUAUUCUGAAAGCCUGUCGUGUAAAUUUCACCAGAAUAAUAAUUUCCCAGAUUAAAAUGGACGACCAAUUGGCAGAAAAAAUUAUUUAUAUGAUUAAAACACACUGGAACCGGAGCUCGACAGGUUCGCAGAAAUUAAAAAAUGCCGCAAUCAUUUCAUGAGUACAACAACCACAACACAGGAAGGUAGCAAUUAAGUCAGCAUUACCAAAUAUUAGCUUUCAUAAAAAUUCUAACAGGAGAAAGUUCCCAUAUGAUCACACGAAACGAGAUGAGUCUAGAGCUGCUUCUACUACUAGCCCCCAAAUUCGAGCAUGGGUGGGUGGCCAGUCAGGGAAAGAUGCUGCUUCUACUAGCUUGAAACAUCACUCGGUAAAGCACUAUUACAUGAUCCACCACAAUUUGCGAAAAAAAAAAAAAAAAAAAAUUUGCAUUCACGUAAUCAUUCUGAGAAGUCUGUUUUAGAUCAGAGCAUCCACAAAAUAGAUCAUCACCACCAUGAUUCACAAACAAAAUCAUUGACCAAAUAUAUCCUUAUGAAGUUAUAAGCCCAAAAAAAAAAUAAAUAAAUAAAUGAAAUGGUUGAAUUUCUCUCUCACUCUCUCUCUCUCUCUCUCACAGACACACACACAGGCUGAAGGACUAGAUUAAAUUACUAGUGAAUUUACCAUUAGCUCCCUGCAUAGCCCGAAACAAAGAUUAUCUCAUUAAUUUUAAUUUUUCUUUAACAAAAAUAUAUGACGACAAAUGAAUAUUUUUCAUUCAUUAAUUAAUUUUUUUAUUUUCUUUUCUUACAAUUAGUCAGAAAAAAUAAAAUAAAAUAAAAGCGAGGACGGAGCGAUGAAUAGAGUUGGAGUGAGCGCUGGAUGCAGAGGUUUAUCGAUCGAUUCAUGUAUUUUGUGUUAUUUUUCACAACAAAAUUUGCACAAAGUGAUCGAUGAACCGCUGCCUCCAGUGACUUCACUCUCUCUAUUUUCUGUUAAAUAAAAAUUCAAAAAAAAAAUUAAGAUUUAUCAGCAGCACAGAUCAGUGUAAACAGUUUCGAGUAACAGAGAUCUAACGUUCUAAAAGCUUAAUGAAACAAAAUAAAAAACAACUAUACGAACGGCAUACGUGCAAAUACAAAAGAAUUGUGAAUGCUUGUGUGUGUUAAUUUUAAAAAAAAAUAGAGAGAAAUAUUUGAGAGAGGAAUGGAUUUGAACCAGGAUUCAGAAGAGUCACCAUUGCUGUGGCUGUUGUGCCUGUCACUGUGCCUCUUUUAACACACACUCUCUCUCUCUCUCUAUUUGUGUCUCUUUGUUUUUGUUAACGAGAGAGAGACAGACUGUGACUUUUCUGAUGGUGGUAUUUACUAUACAUAAUCACGUGUUUUCCG